CACGUAGGGCGCAAGCGUUGUCCGGAAUUAUUGGGCGUAAAGAGCUCGUAGGCGGACUGUCACGUCUGCUGUGAAAAGCUGGGGCUUAACCCUGGCCUUGCAGUGGAUACGGGCAGACUAGAGGUAGGUAGGGGAGAAUGGAAUUCCCGGUGUAGCGGUGAAAUGCGCAGAUAUCGGGAGGAACACCGGUGGCGAAGGCGGUUCUCUGGGCCUUACCUGACGCUGAGGAGCGAAAGCGUGGGGAGCGAAACAGG
rnacentral:rRNA from 1 species